UGACAGCGUCCCUUCCCGCAGACAGAGGAGCCUCCUGUGACCGCGUGAGCUGCUCGGCGCUGGGACCUCGAGGCCUUUCCAUGGGGUGAGGCCCUGGACGGCAGAACUGCUCAUCUUUCCAGCUCUGAUGCAAUAAACCUCGCGGGGGAACCCAAGAGACUGGAGGAUCUAACUAUUCCUUAGGCGAGUCCCCGCUCCCCCACCGAGCUGCGGGCCUGGUGAUUUCCCCGGAUUGCUCACGAGCCGAUGGCAGUUGAGGCACGGUUACGGACAGCUCGCUGGUCGGGAUGCGUAAAAACUCCCUGGAUGAGCCCGUCCCCUUCUGCCUCGCUCCUCACCGCAGAGGCAACCCUGUCACCAUGUGUAGCGAGACAUACAGAGACAGAGCGGUCCGUCGUUUCUGAGACACUUCGCAGCAGGACGCGAGGUAAGGCCGGCUCUGGAAAUACUGAUACGGCCACUCAACUAGCCCUGUUUGCGCUGGGCCAUCAGAGCAAUCAACAGCCAACAGAUAAUUUAUCAAUUAAAAUCACUGGCGCUGGACGCGGUUGCCCUCAGCUGGAGGGGCCCCCUCCCAGCUGCCGCGGCAAAGAGGGAUAAAACUUUG